GUUUGCACUUGGUGAUAGUACCAGCCAUAAAGUAUUGGAGGUUCAUAGCAUGUUUUGUUUGACUUUCCGAUAGUUUUAUCUGCUCUUUGUCUUGACGCAUUGUUUGUGUGGUGGUGAGUCUAAACCAUGAUUAGAAGCAUUAUCCUUGAACCUGCCAUUGAGCUCAUGAUCAAAUUAGAAGUUGCAAGCAUGAAGGGACUUUUUGGGUUUUGGUGAAUCUGUUAUAAGAUAUCCCAAUGUUGAAAGAGAUGUUAUAGUUGGAGUUUUAUAGAUUGGAAUCUGGCCUGAAUCAGAAGGUUUCAUUGACGAAGGUUUCAUCUUGCUCCCAAGAAGUGAAAAGGUUCUUGUGAAGGUGGCAAAAAAUUCACUUGCAACAAGUAAUGUGAUUUGAACAUUGUGAUAAGGAGAAUUCUUCUUGGGUAGAUUUAAGUUUCAUGUGAAUUAACGCUUAGUUUUUUUUUUCCCUUGUAUGUAGUAUUGUCUAUGUAUUCCCACAAAACGGUGCAAAACUUGCAAUAUUCCGGCGACUUCUGUGUCGUUUUCAAUAUUUUAGAAUUGCAGUGUCGUUGCACUACUCUAAUGACCUCUCUGUCAUUUUCAAGAUUUAAGAAUGGCAGAAAACGAUGCUAUGGCAGCGUUGUUGCACUAUCCCAGCGAUCUCUGUGUCGGAACAAUAAGCAAUGUUUGAAGCUUUGGAGCGGUGCAACGUGUGUUGGAUUUGGUCAAUGCAGAUUACAUAAG